GGGAGAGUGAGCACCUAUAUAUAGGACCCCUUCUUUCUUGAAUUUUUCUUGAUUUGGAUAGUUGAAGAAACCAUGGAUAAUUUAGAAAUUGGUAUGUAGCUGAACAUUUUCUUGGCCGUUGAAUCAUAUACAUGAAGUUGAACUAUUUGCUGCCUCACUUUCGAUGUUGUGUGACCAUGAGUUCCAAACGCUAAUUGUCUGUCUUCUGUUGAUUAAAGUUGUUGUCUAUCCAGUGAACAUGUUAAAUUUGCCUGAAAUGAGAUCUAUGCUUGGAGUUUGGUGUUAUAGUUCAAAAAACGAUUUAAACUAUUUAACUUCAUGGUAAUUUUUUGUUUGUUUGGGGCUCAGAAAUAAAAAGGAGAAAAGAACUCCUUGCAUUAGUUUUUACUCUUCUGAAUUCGUUGAUUGUGGUGUAGUGUAUCUACUGCUCAUAGUCUUUGAACUUGGACGGUGUUAGAGUAUUAUUGAAAUGUUAAUAGGCACGGAGAUAUGAGUUUCAUUUUAUUUUUGUAAUUUGUAAAUCUUUGAUAAUCGUUGGCUCUGCAAUGCUCCUUUAAUUCUUUCCAUUUAGUGGUCAAAUGUGUAUAAUACGUUUGUUGUCCAAAAAUUUAUAAACAUUGAAGUUAAAGGUGAAGCUCUAGACUAUUUGUGGUUUAUUGUUAAAUGAUUGUGUAUGGAUAUAAAGCUUAUACAGUUGCUUGUAAAUUGCAGUGAGCGUAGCUUUCUUUUUAAUUCA